UGCAUUGGAGAAGGAAAUGGCAACCCACUCCAGUGUUCUUGCCUGGAGAAUCCCAGGGAAGGGGGAGCCUAAUGGGCUGUGUCUAUGGGGUUGCACAGAGUCGGACCCGACUGAAGUGACUUUACCUCUUUACUUUAGCAGAGCUCAGCUUUUGCCACUAGCUUUGUCCUUGGAGUGUCUGGGUGAGAACAAAGUUUCAGUUUUACUCCACUUGACAAACACCACCUGUCUGGCCCAGGGGCCCAUCUGUCUUGGGUCCUUAGGAGACUAUUUGGAAGUUUUGUGACAAUGUGUCUUGGGGUUAUCAGGUGAAAAGAGUCAACCUGUUACUGAAGAGCAAGUUUGUGAGCCUGGUGCAGUGAGGCCACACAAGCCAAAACAUUGGAGUUUGCAGCCAGGAAAGGUUUAUUGCAGCGUCACGUGAGGAUAAAGGGCGGCUCAUGCCCCUCAAACCUGGGACUCCCCAAAGGGUUGCAGCAAAGCAUUUUUAAAGGCAAGAUGAGGGAGGGGCAUGGUUGGUUGUUGCAAACUUCUUGGUCCACAUAAGCCAGAUCACAGUGUUCCUGUAAAGCUCCAACAAGACAAAUGUUACUCUGUUUGCGACUUUCUAUAUGAAUGGAAAAGUGUUAUGUCCUUAAAGGUCAGAGCCUUGAUAAUGGGCUAGCCUGUAUACAGGCUGUAUUCAGGCUAUCUGCAAUAUUUUAAACUCAAAAAGAAUACAAAAAUAGAAUACCUUUGUAUUCUAUUUGAGUUAUUAAUAAAAAGAUAUUCUAAAAGUAUUCUAAAGGUAAAAGAAACAGAUCUAAUAUGAAGUCAGAUAUGUUCUUCCCUAUUACAAAUCUUUCUCUCAUUGAUCCUAGGGAGGGGAUUUAGGACACUGGAAUUCUUUUAGGAGGCUCUGCUUUUAGACAAGGAGAAGGCAAUGGCAACCCACUCCAGUACUCUUGCCUGGAAAAUCCCAUGGACAGAGGAGCCUGGUAGGCUGCAGUCCAUGGGGUCACACAGAGUCGGACACGACUGAAGCGACUUAGCAGCAGCAGCUUUUAGACAGGUGAGGGAAUUCCAGGGCGGGGGCCGGGGGGAAGCUUAUUCUCCAAUGUCUUCAGUUCAAAAUUCUUGUGUGUCACAGUGUCUCCCUGUACCAGCGCCUGGCUGGCCUUCCCACUUCCUCUCUUAGUCUCUUCAGUCCCUUCUCCAUGCGCACCAAAGUGGUCAUUUCAGAAUGCAAAUAAGACUGUCACUCCCACCACAGGCCCCAUUCUGUUUCCUGCUUUGGACAGAUCCCACAGUUUCAAGGGUACAAACACAAAUCCCUGACAAACUGUGCUAUAUCCCAGUGCUGUGCCCUGCCCCCAUCAGUCCCAGACCUCUCUCACUGAGCUCCACCAGACUGGCAUUGAUUGCUUACACUGAUCAAUCCUUUCCCGAGAACUCCUCCUCUCCCCUGGGUCAUAGGGCUACUCUCACUUUCUCAGGGAGGCGCUCUAUCCUUCUGUGGUCAUUCCCCACAUGAUCAGCUCUCUGAGCCCCACAGGCCUUCCCCUCCCAGCACUGUGGCCGGGCAGGACUAGGUCGAAGCCAGUGCACAGUGCGUCUGUGUCGCCAGAAACUCGAGCAAGACCUGGCACGGGGUGGACGCUUAGAACAUUUGCUAUGAAUGAAUAAGGAAACGAGGUUGAGACAGUCUGGGACCUGAAACCAGGGACCCUUUGCUUCAGUGCUUGCCCCUGGACAGAGCAACAAAAUACAAAGGAAACUAUAAGAGACUAAAAGCAACCCAGCAUGCAUGGAUAAUUGGACAAAUCAUGAACAAGAUACAAAAAGACCAAAAACCCAACUGCCUCUUCUGAGGAGGCAGGAGCAAAAGCAGGGCACUGCGCAUGCACCCUGCACAUGGCACCAUCAGGACGCUGGGCAGACCACCUGAGCCGCCCUUCAGGCCUGAGCCCUCACCCGCCCUACCGCCACCCCAUAGAAGGAUCCCGCUUACCCCUCUCCAUCAGGGACCCGGCAGGGGGACCUCUUCCUUGUGUUUGCACCCUCCUGCUGCAACAGGAGUCCCAGCCUUGCCAACCUUUCUUGUCUGGCCUCUUACCAAUUUCUAUUACUAAGGAGCCAGGAAACUUUAUCAGUAACAUACUCUGCAAAGAGACACAGUCCCCUUCCUGGGAGAGGAUCUGGGCACCUCCAGGACUACCGAAUGCAGCAUCCUUUUGUGUGACAAGCAGCCUCCUGAACCUCUAGUUUCAGCAUCACCACACUUGAUAUAAGGAAACCCUUCCCGUCAAGCUAAUUAUAAUUUACAGCAAUUUGGCAAGUUACACCCCUAAGUAGAACUGAAACAUUCCCUCUACCUGAUCCCUCCAGAAACUGGAAACUAAGGUUCCCAGCAGCUUUAUCAGGUGAGGAUCAAAUGCCCCAUUGCCAGGAGCCACCACGGGAGAUCCCACCCAUGACAAGGUCAUGUGGAAGAGCCAUGACAAGUGAGGCGGAUCAUGGCUCAUACCCUCAUACCCUCAGGAUGACGGCUCAGGUGAAAGGAUAGCAAAGCAAAGAGAGAAGCUUGAUCUUCCUUGAUUAACACAGAAAGCCAAUAAAGCUCCUGUGUUCCAAGGAGUCAUCCUGAAAGAAGAACAGAGAGAGAAAAGGAGAGAAAAGGAAAAAAAGAACAACACGGGGAGACCAAGCUUUGGUCACAACAGAAGAACAAUACACCUGUGAGCCAGUGGAAAACCUGAAAUACCUAUUCAGAAGACAGGCACCAUUGACAGAUAAGUAAAAUGAUGUGGUGAAUUGGACUCCUACUUGCUGUUGUAACUCUUGUUUGCGUUCUACCAGUUGGCUUAGCCAACCCCGCCCAGGAAGUGGCUCUUUUGUCUGUGCUGGGUUUAAGGGAAACACUCCACCCCAGAAAUGCUUCCCCUACUGAAUCUGUCUGCUUUACCAGUCCCUGUAACUAAAGGACAAUGGCAAGAAAACUCACUCAUCAACAUUUCCAGAAUCAUAUCCAAAGCAGAACGUUUAAAAGAUGCUGGAUGUGCCAUCAACACCCCCAGCUGGCCACUGGGCCUCCUCUUGCAUUCUCCUGAAACUGCCAAUUCCAAUGGUAAUUAACAAUCUAAAUCAGGGACAAUUACCACCCACCCCAAACCUCUGCUGGUCACAUGUGCACCUUCCAGGAGGCUAUUCCAGUUCUUUAACCCGAGUCCCCCAUAUGGAGACACUAUGUUAAAAAUUGCACAAAUGGCAUUUCUUUCACAUGCCUCAAGAACCCUCCAAGAUAUAAAUACACCAGAUAUCCUGCCUCUUUUUUUUUUUAAUUUUUGGCUGGAUCUUCAUUGCUGUGCGGGCUUUUCUUUGGUUGCAUCGAGCAGGGGUUAUUCUGUAGUUAUGGUGUGCAGGCUUCUAAUUGCUGUGGCUUCUCUUGUUGCAGAGCACAGGCUCUGGGGCACACAGGCUUCAGCAGUUGCGGCCCAAGGGCUCAAUAGUUGCAGUUCUUGGGCUCUAAAGUAC